rnacentral:rRNA from 1 species
GCUUAGAGAGGGGUCAAUGUCCUAUCAACUAGUUGGCAGGGUAAUGGCCUACCAAGGCUAAGACGGGUAGCCGGCCUGAGAGGGUGGUCGGCCACACUGGGACUGAGACACUGCCCAGACUCCUACGGGAGGCUGCAGUCGAGAAUCUUUCGCAAUGCCCGAAAGGGUGACGAAGCGACGCCGCGUGUGGGAAGAAGGCCUUCGGGUUGUAAACCACUGUCGGGAGUUAAGAAAUGUGAGGGUGUUAAUAGCAUCCUUGCUUGACUAAGGCUCCGGAGGAAGCCACGGCUAACUCUGUGCCAGCAGCCGCGGUAAUACAGAGGCGGCAAGCGUUGUUCGGAAUUAUUGGGCGUAAAGAGCACAUAGGCGGCUUUGUAAGUCAGUUGUGAAAGCCUUCUGCUUAACGGAAGAACAGCAUCUGAUACUGCAAGGCUAGAGUACGGAAGGG